rnacentral:rRNA from 1 species
AUGAAGUCUCUCUCGUGGUCUAAGGCGGCGCCGGUCACGGAGACGGCCAUCCGCGCCGCCGUUGGUGACAAUGCUGUAACUAGAAAGGCUGUGUGCUGGUUGCUGAAGCAGAAGAGAGGGUUGCGUCGUGCGGGCACUGGUGGCCACCCGGAUCCGUAUGUGUACAUGGUACGUGAAAUCUGUGCCACACAGUUUGCGUUUUGA